rnacentral:lncRNA from 1 species
AACAAAACUCCCUAAGACUUGUAUAGUCUCAACUUGGUGGUAUAGACAAAGGAUGAUGCUGCUACCUUUCAUACCGCAGGUAGAUCAAAGGAUUAUCUUUGAGGGAAAACAGCUAAACUUUGUAUUUUAACCAUGCCAUGUUUUAUAAAGCCUGCCACAAAAGAAAACUGAAGGAAGAGGACAUAAAUUGAAUAUGGACAGAAGCAGACAGAUCUGGACUACAAGGCAGGCUCAGUCAAAAGGUCACUCUUCAGCCAUGCUGGACUUCAGCUACACUUGCUCAACUGGCAGCACGCUUGACUAAGAACAGAUUAUUACAGAGCUGUGGCUCCCUGCAGAAUGGAAAUCCAACAUGCAAACAAACAAGGCUGACACUGCAUAAAAGAAAUUUAAACUGGGAAUGUGACCUGCAAGAUGUUGAACAUCUGCUACUACCGUUUAUCUGGGAUUUACAGAGUUGGAUGGUGAGUUCAUAUAAGAAUAGACAGAUACAAUUAAAAAUAAAAUGUAGGGUUUAUAAGAAAAAUAUGCAAAGAACUUUCCUAUUAUUGUUUUAGUCUACUAACCCUUUCUUUCCCUAUAGAACUUUGCUUAUCAUCAGUCAGAUAAAAAUUAAAUGAUA